rnacentral:pre_miRNA from 1 species
AUCUGGAGGCAGCGGUUCAUCGGUCUGUUCCCCGUAAAGCACAAAAUAAAGCAGCAGGAAGUGAUCGAUAAACCUCUGCAUCCAGC